rnacentral:rRNA from 1 species
AGUGAACGCUGGCGGUAGGCCUAACACAUGCAAGUCGAACGGCAGCACAGUAAGAGCUUGCUCUUACGGGUGGCGAGUGGCGGACGGGUGAGGAAUACAUCGGAAUCUACUUUUUCGUGGGGGAUAACGUAGGGAAACUUACGCUAAUACCGCAUACGACCUACGGGUGAAAGCAGGGGAUCUUCGGACCUUGCGCGAUUGAAUGAGCCGAUGUCGGAUUAGCUAGUUGGCGGGGUAAAGGCCCACCAAGGCGACGAUCCGUAGCUGGUCUGAGAGGAUGAUCAGCCACACUGGAACUGAGACACGGUCCAGACUCCUACGGGAGGCAGCAGUGGGGAAUAUUGGACAAUGGGCGCAAGCCUGAUCCAGCCAUACUGCGUGGGUGAAGAAGGCCUUCGGGUUGUAAAGCACUUUUGUUGGGAAAGAAAAGCAGCAGGUUAAUACCCCGCUGUUCUGACGGUACCAAAAGAAUAAGCACCGGCUAACUUCGUG